rnacentral:misc_RNA from 1 species
GUUGAAUUAUAAGAAAAUAUAUUAAGAAUGUGGUAGGGAAGUUAAGAAGAAAUUUCUCAAAUAUAUUAUGGUGCAAAUGUUUUUUUGUGGACAUUUAAAAUAACCAUAAAGUAGUAAAAAGAAUUUGGGGGGCUAGGGAAAGGUCAAAGGAAGGGGAAAGCUAUUGAGGUUCUCUUAAAAUUUGUAAUUUAAAUUUAGCAGAGAUAAAUAAUAAGAG